GCAGAACGCUGGCGGCGUGCCUAUACAUGCAGUCGAGCGGACUGAUUAGAAGCUUGCUUCUAUGACGUUAGCGGCGGACGGGUGAGUAACACGUGGGCAACCUGCCUGUAAGACUGGGAUAACUCCGGGAAACCGGAGCUAAUACCGGAUAACAUUUUUUCUUGCAUAAAAAAAAAUUGAAAGAUGGUUUCGGCUAUCACUUACAGAUGGGCCCGCGGUGCAUUAGCUAGUUGGUGAGGUAACGGCUCACCAAGGCAACGAUGCAUAGCCGACCUGAGAGGGUGAUCGGCCACACUGGGACUGAGACACGGCCCAGACUCCUACGGGAGGCAGCAGUAGGGAAUCUUCCGCAAUGGACGAAAGUCUGACGGAGCAACGCCGCGUGAGUGAUGAAGGCUUUCGGGUCGUAAAACUCUGUUGUUAGGGAAGAACAAGUACAAGAGUAACUGCUUGUACCUUGACGGUACCUAACCAGAAAGCCACGGCUAACUACGUGCCAGCCCGCCGCGGAUA
rnacentral:rRNA from 2 species